UUCUACAGCCAUGCCACCCUGAACAAGCCUGAUCCCAUCUGAUCUCGGAAGCUAAGCAGGGUGGGGCCUGGUUAGUACUUGGAUGGGAGAUCACCUUGGAAGACCAGGUGCUGUAGGCA
rnacentral:rRNA from 1 species